GGGCUUGACAUCCCACGAACCUGCCCGAAAGGGUAGGGUGCCCGCAAGGGAGCGUGGAGACAGGUGGUGCAUGGCUGUCGUCAGCUCGUGUCGUGAGAUGUUGGGUUAAGUCCCGCAACGAGCGCAACCCUCACCCCUUGUUGCCAACGGGUCAGGCUGGGCACUCUAGGGGAGCUGCCCCGGUCAACGGGGAGGAAGGUGGGGAUGACGUCAAGUCAUCAUGCCCCUUACGUCCUGGGCUACACACGUGCUACAAUGGCCGGUACAAAGGGAUGCAAGACCGCGAGGUGGAGCUAAACCCAAAAAGCCGGUCUAAGUUCAGAUUGGAGUCUGCAACUCGACUCCAUGAAGGAGGAAUCGCUAGUAAUCGCGUAUCAGCACGACGCGGUGAAUACGUUCCCGGGCCUUGUACACACCGCCCGUCACACCACGAAAGCCAGCUGUACUCGAAGUCGCUGAG
rnacentral:rRNA from 1 species